AACGAACGCUGGCGGCAUGCCUAACACAUGCAAGUCGAACGAAGCCUUCGGGCUUAGUGGCGCACGGGUGCGUAACGCGUGGGAAUCUGCCCUUGGGUUCGGAAUAACAGUUAGAAAUGACUGCUAAUACCGGAUGAUGUCUUCGGACCAAAGAUUUAUCGCCCAAGGAUGAGCCCGCGUAGGAUUAGGUAGUUGGUGGGGUAAUGGCCCACCAAGCCGACGAUCCUUAGCUGGUCUGAGAGGAUGAUCAGCCACACUGGGACUGAGACACGGCCCAGACUCCUACGGGAGGCAGCAGUGGGGAAUAUUGGACAAUGGGCGAAAGCCUGAUCCAGCAAUGCCGCGUGAGUGAUGAAGGCC
rnacentral:rRNA from 1 species